UUAACCGGAUUAGAUACCCUGGUAGUCCACGCCCUAAACGAUGUCAACUAGUUGUUGGGGAUUCAUCUCCUUAGUAACGUAGCUAACGCGUGAAGUUGACCGCCUGGGGAGUACGGUCGCAAGAUUAAAACUCAAAGGAAUUGACGGGGACCCGCACAAGCGGUGGAUGAUGUGGAUUAAUUCGAUGCAACGCGAAAAACCUUACCUACCCUUGACAUGCCACUAACGAAGCAGAGAUGCAUUAGGUGCUCGAAAGAGAAAGUGGACACAGGUGCUGCAUGGCUGUCGUCAGCUCGUGUCGUGAGAUGUUGGGUUAAGUCCCGCAACGAGCGCAACCCUUGUCUCUAGUUGCUACGAAAGGGCACUCUAGAGAGACUGCCGGUGACAAACCGGAGGAAGGUGGGGAUGACGUA
rnacentral:rRNA from 1 species